GACGAACGCUGGCGGCGUGCUUAACACAUGCAAGUCGAACGGUGAAGCGCCUUCCUUUUUGGUGGGUGUGGAUGAGUGGCGAACGGGUGAGUAACACGUGAGUAACCUGCCCCCUUCUUCUGGAUAACCGCAUGAAAGUGUGGCUAAUACGGGAUAUUCUGGGCCUGUCGCAUGAUGGGUCUGGGAAAGAUAUUGUUUCGGUGGGGGAUGGGCUCGCGGCCUAUCAGCUUGUUGGUGGGGUGAUGGCCUACCAAGGCGGUGACGGGUAGCCGGCCUGAGAGGGUGGACGGUCACACUGGGACUGAGACACGGCCCAGACUCCUACGGGAGGCAGCAGUGGGGAAUAUUGCACAAUGGGCGCAAGCCUGAUGCAGCGACGCCGCGUGAGGGAUGGAGGCCUUCGGGUUGUGAACCUCUUUCGCCAGUGAAGCAGGCCUGCCUCGUUUGUGGGUGGGUUGACGGUAGCUGGAUAAGAAGCGCCGGCUAACUACGUG
rnacentral:rRNA from 1 species